rnacentral:rRNA from 1 species
UGGUUACAAUAGCAGAGAGGAUACACCUGUUCCCAUUCCGAACACAGAAGUUAAGCUCUCUAGUGCUGAUGGUACUUGAAUUUAUAAAAAUUUAAUGCGGGUGUAGCUCAAUGGUAGAGUU